GAUGAACGCUGGCGGCGUGCCUAAUACAUGCAAGUCGAGCGAACAGACGAGGAGCUUGCUCCUCUGACGUUAGCGGCGGACGGGUGAGUCACACGUGGAUAACCUACCUAUAAGACUGGGAUAACUUCGGGAAACCGGAGCUAAUACCGGAUAAUAUAUUGAACCGCAUGGUUCAAUAGUGAAAGACGGUUUUGCUGUCACUUAUAGAUGGAUCCGCGCCGCAUUAGCUAGUUGGUAAGGUAACGGCUUACCAAGGCGACGAUGCGUAGCCGACCGGAGAGAGUGAUAGGCGACACUGGAACUGGGACACGGACCAGACGCCUACGAGAGGCAGCAGUAGGGAAUCGGCCGCAGUGGGCGAAAGCCUGACGGAGCAACGCCACGUCAGUGAUAGAGGUCUUGGGAUCGUGAUACUCUGUUAUGAGGGAAAAACAAAUGUGUAAGUAAAUAUGCACGACUUGACGGUACCUGAUCAGAAAGCCACGGCUAACUACGUG
rnacentral:rRNA from 1 species